rnacentral:rRNA from 1 species
AUUGAACGCUGGCGGCAUGCCUAACACAUGCAAGUCGAACGGUAACGACGGGAGCUUGCUCCCGGGCGACGAGUGGCGGACGGGUGAGUAACACUUAGGAAUCUGCCCAGUAGUGGGGGACAACCAGGAGAAAUCCUGGCUAAUACCGCAUACGCACUACGGUGGAAAGUGGGGGACCUUCGGGCCUCACGCUAUUGGAUGAGCCUAAGUCGGAUUAGCUUGUUGGUGAGGUAAAGGCUCACCAAGGCGACGAUCCGUAGCUGGUCUGAGAGGACGAUCAGCCACACUGGGACUGAGACACGGCCCAGACUCCUACGGGAGGCAGCAGUGGGGAAUAUUGGACAAUGGGCGCAAGCCUGAUCCAGCAAUGCCGCGUGCGUGAAGAAGGCCUGCGGGUUGUAAAGCACUUUCAGUAGAGAAGAAAAGCCUAGGGUUAAUAACCCUGAGUCUUGACGUAACCUACAGAAGAAGCACCGGCUAACUCCGUG